GACGAACGCUGGCGGCGUGCUUAACACAUGCAAGUCGAACGGUGAAGCGCCUUCCUUUUUGGUGGGUGUGGAUGAGUGGCGAACGGGUGAGUAACACGUGAGUAACCUGCCCCCUUCUUCUGGAUAACCGCAUGAAAGUGUGGCUAAUACGGGAUAUUCUGGGUCUGUCGCAUGAUGGGUCUGGGAAAGAUAUUGUUUCGGUGGGGGAUGGGCUCGCGGCCUAUCAGCUUGUUGGUGGGGUGAUGGCCUACCAAGGCGGUGACGGGUAGCCGGCCUGAGAGGGUGGACGGUCACAGUGGGACGGAGACACGGCCCAGACCCCUACGGGGGGGAGGAGGGGGGAAUAUUGCAAAAUGGGGGGAAGCCGGAUGCAGGGCCGCCGGGGGGGGGAGGGGGGCCUUCGGGUUGGGAACCUCUUUCGCCAGUGAAGCAGGCCUGCCUUGUUUGUGGGGGGGUGGAGGGUAGUGGGAAAAGAAGCCCCGGCUAACUACGG
rnacentral:rRNA from 1 species